GGAUCUGCCGAAGUGAGUUAUGUGUGGUAGAGAAAUUUGGGAGGAAGUACGUGGCUCAGGUGGUACCUUAUUGGUCGGAAGUUUGCAGGUAGGAGUCUCCCGCCUUCAGUCUGCACGUCGAAGAAUGCAAUUCCGCAAUCGUAUCUCCAGAGAACUUUCUGAACCCCAGCUGGAACCAGAAAAUGCCCCACCGCGGUCUCUAAAAGCUGAAGCCUGUGUGGCACUUCCUGUUGGGCCCUGAGGAAGAUGAUCUCCCGCCUUGUCGGCUCCCACCGCAGCACAAAGGAAAUCAUUAUCCUGUAAUUAUGGAUGGUUAAGAAGAAGAUUGGCCGUCUCUGUAAUCUGCGUAAUGGCAUAAUGUGUCACCAGGCUCUGGAAGCCUAAACAACCGGCGUAGGCGAUGAUGGACACAGUGAAUUUUUUUUUUUUUUUCCUGACUUUGAAACUAACGAGGAAGAAUCAUUGAGGAAAAUGUCAGCAUUAAUAUGCACGUCUGCAAAGGUCGUGAUGUGACAGCAGCGCGUGAAGCAGGGGGCUCAUGCACACACAGGCGUUUCCCCUCCGUCUGCAUCAAGACUGACAGAAACAUAACAA